rnacentral:rRNA from 1 species
GACGAACGCUGGCGGCGUGCUUAACACAUGCAAGUCGAACGGUGAAGCGCCUUCCUUUUUGGUGGGUGUGGAUGAGUGGCGAACGGGUGAGUAACACGUGAGUAACCUGCCCCCUUCUUCUGGAUAACCGCAUGAAAGUGUGGCUAAUACGGGAUAUUCUGGGUCUGUCGCAUGAUGGGUCUGGGAAAGAUAUUGUUUCGGUGGGGGAUGGGCUCGCGGCCUAUCAGCUUGUUGGUGGGGUGAUGGCCUACCAAGGCGGUGACGGGGAGCCGGCCUGAGAGGGUGGACGGUCACACUGGGACAGAGACAAGGCCCAGACUCCUACGGGAGGCAGCAGUGGGGAAUAUUGAACAAUGGGCGCAAGCCUGAUGCAGCGACGCCGCGUGAGGGAUGGAGGCCUGCGGGUUGUGAACCUCUUUCGCCAGUGAAGCAGGCCUGCCUCGUUUGUGGGUGGGUUGACGGUAGCUGGAGAAGAAGCGCCGGCUAACUACGUG